CAGGAAUUGCGUCUGGUCGGGACAAACUGUUCCACCGCUUGAUGAAAAUAGUUGCAUGUCAAGGCACAGUUUUUUUAUGAAGCAAAGCUGUUAACUCUGCAGCCUGAAGAAAGCAGAUCAUGAGGAGGAGAAGGUGUGUCAGCUUCUGAAGGCACUGACCAAGAACUGGGGUCCUGAACUUUGACUGCUGCUCCCCAGCUCUUACAGAGAUGUGACAAUGUUUGCUGUGGGUACCAGGCCUGAAAUAUCAGCAGUGAUAUCGUGUGAGGAAAGGAAAAUGUUCAAAACCUUGACUCUUCAUUCAUCAGUGGAGCUGAUAUCAACAGAAACUUUUCAGUAUGUAUCAAAUGAUAGUGGAGACAGAAGUGAGGAAAAUAAAAAGCUACACAUCGUUAUUUUCCUACUGAAUCUAGCAGAUUUGCAAACAAGCACUCACCCAAAAUGGAAUCAGAUAAGAACUCUUAACUGGAAAGGGAUGAGAUAGAGGUUAAUGCAGAAGAGAAUAUACCUAGAGUAUGACAAAAUACUAGCAAGAUUCUUCUAAGUGGCAGAGUUUGCAAAACUUGACUGACAGCUUAGUGUGAUCGAUGGGAGCAAUUCCCUUAUAUUUACAUCCAAAAAAGAAGUUAGGAAUAUUGUGACAAAUGACUUUGCUGAGUUACACUGCACUUCCUCAGACAGGUGUAAGGUGGUAAUUUGGGACAGGUCAGUGCUGAUGUUCCUACAGAGGGGCAUUACAUUUCUGCACCAAUAAAAAGGGUGCUAGAAGUAAAAAUAGUGCUUAGGUUAAAGCUGCAGCUCUCUCCUGCUUUGCCUCUGUACCAGAUAUUCUUGGUUUUUAAAGACAUUCUUCAGCAUUUUGCUCAUCUCGUGAACGCUCAGUAGCUGCGGAAGGCACAGCCUGGAGCGCUAUUCCAGGUCGCGGUGCCAUGAGCUGCCUGAGGAUCCGAGUCACGUACCUUGGGGCAAUCACGAUAUCGCCUUAAUCAGCUCUGCUGCUUGAUCUCUGCCGUGCAUCCCUAUUGCCAUGACAGCGAAGAGGCUGCCCCUUAAUCCCAGCUCCCUGAGCAAGUGAGAGGAACGGCAUCUCCUGUGGUGGAGUCACAUCUCUGUCCAGUCCCUGAGUGAGAGGAAUGGUGUCUCCCUGCGGUGCAGUUCCACCUCUGUUCCAGCAAAGGCAGCGGUGCCAUCCAGCGAGUGCCACCCCAGCUCCUGACAUCAAACACCAGGAAAUGUGCCUGUGCUGUCGGCUGGCAGAAGGCAAGAGCAGGACCACACUGCCCGAGGAAUCUCUUGGAAUUCUCAUGCCAAGCACUCUGGGUAUUUCAAGAGCUCCCCUCCAGGCAUGGAUUUGAUAUGCGCUUUGAUGUUUGUAUGCAGUUUUGAGUUGCCUUUUCUUUCCCCAAACUUUUGAUCUGAACAGUUUCUACCAGAAGGGAUUUUCGUCUCCUGUUGCACUGGAUUCACGUGUCGCAUUUGGAAACACGACAGCUGCCACUGCUGCACACAUGCAGGGGUGCAUUUCCUGCAGAGGAUGCAGUGUGGGCACUUCGUGCCACUGCAGAUGAGGUUGCUCUGGGCAUCCACCUUCUCCUCAGCAGUGAAGCCUGUUGCCCACAGCCAUUUCUUCUGGAAUAAAGGCCCUGCUCUUUGUAAGGUCACAGGGGAGCAGCAGGGUGCCACGCAGGCAGCAGGACAGCUGGGACCUGGGGGGUCCCACGGAGCAAUUCCAUGCUCCUUCUAAAGGCCACCUUCCACAGGCAGCAUCCCUCACUGGUUCUCAGGAGCUGGCUGCAGGAUGGACCCGGCAAACCAGCAGUGGGAUUUGCAAAUGAACAACUUUGCCUUGUCACAAAAAAACAUUACUUUCUGGUAUUUCAAGAUCUGGAAACCAGUGGCUUCCAGAGGCUGGGCUGAAUUUUUGCUCCAGACUGAAAUGAGAGGAGCAAUGUCCAUUAUUGCAGCAGCCAGAAAACAAUUAUACGUCAAAAAGUGAGGAGACAAGAAGAUGCUGGUCUCACUCUAUCUUGGCAAUAAGGAUGGUUAUUUAAUAAAUGCAAUUGCUACC